UACGUAGGGUGCAAGCGUUGCCCGGAUUCAUUGGGCGUAAAGAGCGUGUAGGCGGCCAGGCAGGUCCGCUGUGAAAACUCGAGGCUCAACCUCGAGAUGUCGGUGGAAACCGUCUGGCUAGAGUCCGGAAGAGGAGAGUGGAAUUCCCGGUGUAGCGGUGAAAUGCGCAGAUAUCGGGAGGAACACCGGUGGCGAAGGCGGUUCUCUGGGCCGAUACUGACGCUGAGGAGCGAAAGCGUGGGGAGCGAACAG
rnacentral:rRNA from 1 species